rnacentral:rRNA from 1 species
GUCUACAGCCAUGCUACCCUGAACAAGCCCAAUCCUGUCUGAUCUCAAAAGCUAAGCAGGGUCGAGCCUGGUUAGUACUUGGAUGGGAGACCACCUAGGAAGACCAGGUGCUGUAGGCG